rnacentral:rRNA from 1 species
GCAAGUCGAGUGCGCAGGCCCGCAGCAAUGCGGGACGGGCGCACGGCGCACGGGUGCGUAACACGUGGGCAAUCUGCCCUCGGAUGGGGGAUAACCCCGCGAAAGCGGGGCUAAUACCGCAUGAUAUUCCUGGGACCUCGGUCCCGGGACUCAAAGGCCGCAAGGCCGUCGGAGGAGGAGCCCGCGCCCGAUUAGCUAGUUGGUGAGGUAACGGCUCACCAAGGCCAUGAUCGGUAGCCGGUCUGAGAGGAUGGCCGGCCACACUGGAACUGAGACACGGUCCAGACUCCUACGGGAGGCGGCAGUGGGGAAUAUUGCGCAAUGGGCGAAAGCCUGACGCAGCGACGCCGCGUGGGGGAUGAAGCUUCUCGGAGUGUAAACCCCUUUCGACCCGGACGAACGGCCCGCAAGGGCGUGACGGUACGGGUAUAAGAAGCCCCGACUAACUACGUGCCAGCAGCCGCGGUAAUACGUAGGGGGCCAGCGUUGCUCGGAAUUACUGGGCGUAAAGGGUUCGUAGGCGGUGCGGCAAGUCGGGAGUGAAAUCUCUGGGCUUAACUCAGAGGCUGCUUUCGAAACUGCCGUGCUCGAGUGCGGGAGAGGCCAGUGGAAUUGCAGGUGUAGCGGUGA